CCUUAGAGUUUGAUCCUGGCUCAGGACGAACGCUGGCGGCGCGUCUUAACACAUGCAAGUCGAACGGACCUCUUCGGAGGUCAGUGGCGAACGGGUGCGUAACACGUGAGUGACCUGCCCUUGUGUGGGGGAUAACCCGGGGAAACCCGGGCUAAUACCGCAUGACUUCAUCGGAUCGCAUGGUCUGGUGAGCAAAGGUCCUUCGGGACUGCGCAGGGAGGGGCUCGCGGCGUAUCAGCUAGUUGGUGAGGUAACGGCUCACCAAGGCGAUGACGCGUAGGGGGUC
rnacentral:rRNA from 1 species